rnacentral:tRNA from 1 species
GCCCCAUUCGUCUAGAGGCCUAGGACGCAGCCCUCUCAAGGCUGAAACAGGAGUUCGAAUCUCCUAUGGGGUA